CUUCUCUUCACUGCGUGGUAGCAGGUAGUCGUGGACUGUUUCUGACUUGCUUAACAUCACUAACCAAGCAAACGUAAAGGUCUUUCUCAUAUCUGAUAUGUCUGAUCUUGGUGUGAUGUGGAACAGAACCUAAUUCUUUUUGGGGGAGCUCUUUUCUUUUGAGAAAUGCUGAAUUCCAGCGCAUAACAACAAUCCCACUUAAAACAACCUUCAUGGUGCAGUUGGACAGCCAUUUACCCCUGCUGGGGACGUGUUUCUGGCCAGAAACUAGCCACACAUCUGGCGAUCUUGCAAGAGGUCCCUGAGUCCCGGCUAAAGAAUAAAGGUGACCAGGCUGCUCUCUGUCUCGGACCCUUCCAUGUAUGCACAUGGAAGGGCAGGGAAGUGCUCUCCCUGGAGGUGCCUUAUGGCUUUCCACGCGACAAGUGAUGUCAAUCCUAAAAGGGCAGCAGUCCUUAAGGCACUUUGGAGCUACCUUGGCGAGGAUGUUGGACAUCUCAUCUGGAGUAUAAGGACAUGGAGAUGACAUCCAGAGAGACCUGCAGAAAUCCACCAUGUGCAUAUAUGUCAUCAACAAGGAGCGUGGAGAAAUUGGAGCUCACGAUGAUAUUGGCAUUAACGUUGAAGGAGUAAUCAUUCUGGACAACAUUGGAUCUGUAGCCCAAGCAUGUGCAAUGAUGCUGGGAGUCAUCUAUGUACUGAACAUGGCUUACCCCAAAG